AACUACAGCAAUAAAAAGAAGGCUGUAGUUCUUACACGCUCCACAAGGCGGCCAUGUCGCUUAUACUGAGUAAAAUGCAAGAGCUGAAAGGAGGCGACUUACAAAACAGGAAGUGAUGCGAGGUACGGACAGGAAGUUCCGGGUGAAAAAUCAGUUGGGAGGGAGUAUAAAGGAGACAUUGCUGGAACUGGCAGCAGAGGAGAGAUGUGAGGUAUUAAGUAUGUAUCAUCGGUCUCCAUGAGCCCUUCUCCACUUCAUCGCCUUCACCUCCCUCCCCGACAACUAAGAAAUAUAUCAGCAAGAAGAUUCUAGAAGUCACCCAGAAGAUCAUUGGUCUGCUGACAGGAGAGUAACAGAGCUUGUCGGUCUCGUUAUUUUGGG